AGGCGGCGGCGCGCACCAGGGGCCGUACGCCAAGCGGCUUCACGCCAAGGCCACGCACGCGAUUUCGAAGCCACCAACGGCUCAAGGCGGUGGACGGUUGGGGCCGUUGGGGAGCGCCGCUGCGUAGCUGCACCGCCACACCCUGGCGGGCUGCAAAGGGAAGGCGGCUCCCAGCUGCUCGGCCUGCGCACGCACGGCGCUGCUGGCCUCCCCAAGAGUUAAGCCAAGGUGGGCGCGCAGGUGCAGUCUGUGCCCAGGGACGCUGCAGGAGAAGGUGCUAUUUUGAGACUAAGGACCGUGCUGACGGUGCGCGGGGGCGUGGGGACCAGAACCGUGGUCCCACACCGAGGAAGACCCCGACUGCCCUCCAGAGACGCCGGGCAAGGGUGUGAGCGCCACAUGAGGUGGGUUUCAGGACAGACAUGAACCGGCUGGCGACCAUGCUCCCCAUGGUCCCAGGGGAAGAAGACGUGCCCUGGGCUCUGGUCCAGCUGAUGACAAACCACAGACGUGCAGUGCAGGGAAAACAAGAGCAACUGCCCGGCAGGCCCCUGCACCUGGUUCUUGUGUACCUGGAGGCCCGGCCUCACCAGGUUUGCCUCCCCACACUCCAGAGGUACAAAAGGACCCAGUGGAUUUCCCAGCAGCCCUGGGGGAUAGCACCUCGCCCACAGAUGACUGGAAAUGCAGAAACCACCCCAGGCCUCUCUGUGCUCCCAACCUGCUUCUCCCGACUGGGACAGCUGAGGGGCCAGGCGAGCUGUGUCACUGUUGGCUCCUCUGUGCACCCUCGAGUUGACUCUGGAAGCAACAUUACGCUGGCCGCAGAGGGCGAAGUCCAGCAGAGGCUCCAGGGCCCUUCCAAACCUGAAAGACACCAUGUGAACCAAGAGAGAAGCCCGGCUUGUGCCCAUGGAGUCCACUAUUGUUGA
rnacentral:lncRNA from 1 species